rnacentral:lncRNA from 1 species
UACACUGGUACCUGGUAUAAAAAAAAAAAAAAAAAAAAAGGAAAAUAACAGUGUAACAGGAAGACAGCGAUAGGGUUAUUUCUUCUAAACUGUGGAGUCAGUUAAAAACGUUAGCAACAGUUUCAAGUUGAAUCAUAAAACGAAGUUGACUGGAAUUUGGGCAGUUUAUUUAGGAAGAUUCUGACACGUGAUAUGAAAAUUCCUGGGAUCAUUAGGGGAGUUAGGCUCUAUAUAACAACAAUCAUUCAGGAGGGACUCAGGAUACUGGUUAGCUUAACAAGAUUAAAACUGACUUCCUAGUAUACACAUAAACCAAGCUAGUUUCUCAAAUUAGCAACAGAAACCAGAUGAAACUCCUCAAAUGAGUGUUGCAAAAUAAGGAGCUGGUACUAUAGUUUUAUUUGGGGAGAAAUUGUUAAGUUUGGGUUAACUGCUCAGCCUAUGCCUGAUACUACCCUUCCAUCUAUGGUAUCAGCUGUGGCACCUGACACUCCAAUGUAUCAGCUGAUGGUUUUGGUUUACAAUAAAUUAAUUAAGCAAUGGACCAGUAGGGGCAACUUCUUUGAGAGGUACCCAAACAAGUGGAACAGCCCAAGGGCAUGGCCAUCUUCCAUCAAAAAAGACCCUAGGUGGGCUUUCUGGUUGCACCCUGAGUAACCAGAAUGGCCUGAUAGACUGGCAGAGCUCUGGUGAAAGAAGGGUGCAGCCACUACCUGAAGAACUCUAAUUUCUGAAUCAAUUGAAAGCUGGCAUUAAUGUUGGCCACAGACAAUGCAUUCCAUGUAGACUUACUGCAAAGUGUGUUAUAUGAUAUUGAUCCCUGUCUACCUACUUGGUACUUAAGUAGACUCCCAUGGCUUGAAAGCUUUGGACCAGACCCCAGUUUCCUUCUUUGAAUGCAGUUUUUCUGUGUUGUCACAUCCUACUUGGGACACGUUUCUUUAAAUGGGUUGGGUUGCCUGAUGUAGCAAAAAGAAAUACAGGACACCCGAAUACAUUUGAAUUUCAGAAAAAUAAUGAAAUAUGGCACAUAUACCAGAAAAAAAGUUAUGUUAUUUAUCUGAAAUUCAAAUUUAGUUUCCUGCAUUUUAUCUGCAACCCUAUAAAUAUGUUAGUGGCAUGGAUUAAGCUUGGGUUUUAGUCUAUGUAGUUGUUCCCAGGAACUGUCUUGACUCUUUCCAGUAUGUGUUGUUUUCUUAUGUCUAAGUAAUUGACUAGUAGCCAGGAGCAGUGCUGGUGCACACCCGUAGUCCUAGCUACUCAGGAGGCUAAAUUGGGAGGAUUGCUUGAGCUGAGGAGUUUGAGGUUGCAGUGGGUUAUGGUCAUGCCACUGCACUCCAACAUGGGCACCAGAGCAACCGCCCAUCUCUAAAAUAAUAAUAUUUAAUAAUAAGAGACUGGGGGCAAGGAAGGCUCACACAUAGUUGACCCAAGUUGUAUUUCUUAUAUAUUUAUUUAUUUAUUUCUUAGAACUGUUGUUGAGUGUCAGAAGAGGAGGCCCAAUUGCAGAUAUGAGAGUUUUUAUAGGAGACACGUGGUAUUUAGCUAAAAUAACCACAUAACCAUUACAAUAUUUGCAAACACAAAUUUUUUAAAUGCUGUCUCAACAGCAGGUAGUUUGGGUUUGUGGUUUGUUGUCGUUGUGAGAUGGAGACUCACCCUGUCGCCAGGCUGGAACGCAGUGGUGCGAUCUCGGCUCACUGCAAUCUCCACCUCCUGUGUUCAAGCAAUUUCCCUGCCUUGGCCUCCUGAGUAGCUGGGACUACAGGUGCGCACCACCAUGCCCAGCUAAUUUUUUGUAUUUUAGUAGAGAUGGUUUCACCAUGUUGGCCAGGAUGGUCUCAAUCUCCUGACCUCAUGAUCCACCCACCUGAGCCUCCCAAAGUGCUGGAAUUACAGGCGUGAGCCACCGCACCUGGCCAUCUGUGUGUGUUUUAAGCAGUUACUUUCUCACUCUUCUUUACCAUGAAGGGAAAGUAUAUCACUCUUUAAAAACAAAAAAUACUCGAUAGGUAGCACAGUUAUGAUACCCAUUCUUCAUCACAGAAAAGGUUCACAAAUUUGGAACACCUAUCUUUGCCUUCCAGAACCCCCAAAAGACUUGAGGAUUUAAAGGCACAAGGUACCCUGGAAGGUGGGAGUAAUAAAGAAAGUUGAAACAAGGGGAUUAUUUGAACAUUUAUUUUUGCUCUUCUUUUGUAGGCAGGCAGCUAUCUCUCUAGCAGAUGACUGAAGCCUUAUUGUCUGGAGAAAUUAAACCAAACAGACUUAGAACUGAGGACAGGGGGAGGAUGGUAAUGGUAGUGAUGUGCUAUAUGGAAGACAAAAUGAUUAACAGAAUGAAGCCACUUGGAGGAUGUGCUUUACCAAAAUGAGGGAGUAAUCUGAGAAGGCAUGGGAUCCUGAAACUAAAAGAUGUCACAAAGGAAAACGAGGAAAGUCCCAGGAUGACUACUGUGUCAAGUAAGUAGGACAGAGGUUCCAGGAAGUAGGUAUCUAGGAAAACUGGGAACAAAGUAUUUGAGUACAAUGGAAAGUGUAUAAAUAAGCAGGAAAUUUGAAAUUUUAUUUCUUAGAAAGUAUGUUAUUUAGUAAUCAGUUUUUUAAAAAUUUGACAUUAAAAGUAUAGGCAAAUUGGAGUCUUGUCAGCUAUAAUUAGAUUGGUCCUUACGGCAUAAUACUCCACAAUUGCAGUAGAUGCUGACUUCAAUAAGAUGUGCGCCACAGAAGAUAUUUUUAGAAAAUAAAAAGUUUUUCAAUUUGUUUUCGUAUUUGAUUUGCUUAGGGAAAUCUCAAUUUUGUAUUUAUUUACAGAAAUAAUGCAUAGUCUAUAGCAGUAAUUUCAGCAAGCUUUUUGUUUAAAUUUUAGCCUCUGUAGAAUCAAAAGCAUAAAGAAUUACAGGUUGAGCAUUCCUAAUCCAAAAAUUUGAAAUCUGAAAUGCUCCAAAAUCCAAAACUUUUUGAGUGCCAACAUGACAGCACAAAUGGAGAAUUUCACACCUGACCUCAUGUGACAGGUCAGUCAAAACAAAGGCACACAACAGUUUAUUAAAACUACUGUAUAAAAUUACCUUCAAGCUAUGUAUAUAUGAAACAUGAAUGAAUUUCAUGUUUAGACUUCCCAUCCCAAAGAUAUCUCAUUAUGUAUAUGUAAAUAUUCCAAAAUCUGAAAAAGUUAAAUCUGAAGCACUUCUGUUCCCACACAUUUCAGAUAAGGGAUACUCAACCUGUAUCUACUUUUUAAAAAUAAUAUUCUGAAAUUCGAUACUGUUUUUCAUCUUCCAUGCUAUUUUUGCUAUCAAGAUAUGGUUACAUACAGUGGCUGGUCCAUAAUAUAUUCCUAUAUAAUAUUUUAGAUGUUUCCUUAUGAGUCAUGAUUCAGGGUUUUUUUCUUUGCUUUGUUUAUGUUAAUAUUACAUAGUCUGAGAGUGAAUUUUUAUUUACUUGCAAGUGAUAUGUAUGCUGAUAGGUUUUUCUCUCUGUCAUCAAAUCUAUUGAGUAAACCAUGCCAGGCCAAUUUGUCCAUCUCCUUUUUUCUAAGUAAGAAAUCACAAAUAUACAGUAAAUAGAGUGCACUAAUCAUAAGUGUACUUGAUUUUUUUACAUGUGUAUACAUUCGUAUCAAGAUCAUAUAAAAAUGUAUACACUCAGAUCAAAGUAUUAAAAAUUUCAAAUUCUCUUAUGCCCUUUCCUAGUCUAUACAUCUCGCAGAAAUAACUCUUCUUUUCUAAAGAUCUGUUAGUUUUGGUUGUUCUCAGAUUUCAUGUGAAUGGAAUCAUACAGUAUAUAUUGUUUUAUGCCUGGCUUCUUUCAGCAAUGUACUUCUUCUUUUUUUUAUUGUUAUAGACUAUUUGAUUAUAUGAAUAUAUCAUAAUUCAUUUAUCCUUUUACCUGUUGACAUUUAUUUCCAAUUUUUUGUUAUUAUGAAUAAAGCUAUAAUAAACAUUC